rnacentral:rRNA from 1 species
GAUGAACGCUCGCGACAGGCUUAAUACAUGCAAGACGUGGGGCAGCAUGAAGUAGCAAUACUUUGAUGGCGACCGGCAAACGGGUGCGGAACACGUACACAACCUUCCUUUUAGUGGGGAAUGGCGCAGAGCAAUUUGGAUUAAUACCCCGUAACAUAGCGAUGAGGCAUCUCAUUGCUUUUAUAGCUUCGGCGCUAGAUGAGAGGUGUGCGUAUGAUUAGAUAGUUGGCGAGGUAACGGCUCACCAAGUCUACGAUCAUUAGCUGAUGUGUGAGCAUGAUCAGCCACACGGGCACUGAGACACGGGCCCGACUCCUACGGGAGGCAGCAGUAAGGAAUAUUGGUCAAUGGACGAAAGUCUGAACCAGCCAUGCCGCGUGAAGGAUUAAGGUCCUCUGGAUUGUAAACUUCUUUUAUAUGGGACGAAAAAAGGUCUUUCUAGAUCACUUGACGGUACCAUAUGAAUAAGCACCGGCUAACUCCGUGCCCGCAGCCGCAGUAACAC